rnacentral:tRNA from 1 species
AGGGGCUUAGGAUAACGUUUAGACCAAAAGCCUUCAAAGCUUUAAGCAGAAGUUAAAAUCUUCUAGCCCCUG